UCGGCCACACUGGAACUGAGACACGGUCCAGACUCCUACGGGAGGCAGCAGUAUGGAAUCUUCCGCAAUGGGCGAAAGCCUGACGGAGCAACGCCGCGUGAGUGAUGAAGGUCGUCGGAUCGUAAAACUCUGUUAUUAGGGAAGAACAUAUGUGUAAGUAACUGUGCACAUCAUGACGGUACCUAAUCAGAAAGCCACGGCUAACUACGUGCCAGCAGCCGCGGUAAUACGUAGGUGGCA
rnacentral:rRNA from 1 species